rnacentral:rRNA from 1 species
UCGAACGAUGAUGCCCAGCUUGCUGGGUGGAUUAGUGGCGAACGGGUGAGUAACACGUGAGUAACCUGGCCCCUGACUCUGGGAUAAGCGUUGGAAACGACGUCUAAUACUGGAUAUGACUGCCGGCCGCAUGGUCUGGUGGUGGAAAGAUUUUUUGGUUGGGGAUGGACUCGCGGCCUAUCAGCUUCGUUGGUGAGGUAAUGGCUCACCAAGGCGACGACGGGUAGCCGGCCUGAGAGGGUGACCGGCCACACUGGGACUGAGACACGGCCCAGACUCCUACGGGAGGCAGCAGUGGGGAAUAUUGCACAAUGGGCGAAAGCCUGAUGCAGCAACGCCGCGUGAGGGAUGACGGCCUUCGGGUUGUAAACCUCUUUUAGUAGGGAAGAAGCGUAAGUGACGGUACCUGCAGAAAAAGCACCGGCUAACUACGUGCCAGCAGCCGCGGUAAUACGUAGGGUGCAAGCGUUGUCCGGAAUUAUUGGGCGUAAAGAGCUCGUAGGCGGUUUGUCGCGUCUGCUGUGAAAUCCCGAGGCUCAACCUCGGGCUUGCAGUGGGUACGGGCAGACUAGAGUGCGGUAGGGGAGAUUGGAAUUCCUGGUGUAGCGGUGGAGCGCAGAUAUCAGGAGGAACACCGAUGGCGAAGGCAGAUCUCUGGGCCGUAACUGACGCUGAGGAGCGAAAGCGUGGGGAGCGAACAGGAUUAGAUACCCUGGUAGUCCACGCCGUAAACGUUGGGCGCUAGAUGUAGGGACCUUUCCACGGUUUCUGUGUCGUAGCUAACGCAUUAAGCGCCCCGCCUGGCAGUACGGCCGCAAGGCUAAAACUCAAAGGAAUUGACGGGGGCCCGCACAAGCGGCGGAGCAUGCGGAUUAAUUCGAUGCAACGCGAAGAACCUUACCAAGGCUUGACAUACACCGGAAACGGCCAGAGAUGGUUGCCCCCUUGUGGUCGGUGUACAGGUGGUGCAUGGUUGUCGUCAGCUCGUGUCGUGAGAUGUUGGGUUAAGUCCCGCAACGAGCGCAACCCUCGUUCUAUGUUGCCAGCGCGUUAUGGCGGGGACUCAUAGGAGACUGCCGGGGUCAACUCGGAGGAAGGUGGGGAUGACGUCAAAUCAUCAUGCCCCUUAUGUCUUGGGCUUCACGCAUGCUACAAUGGCCGGUACAAAGGGCUGCGAUACCGUAAGGUGGAGCGAAUCCCAAAAAGCCGGUCUCAGUUCGGAUUGAGGUCUGCAACUCGACCUCAUGAAGUCGGAGUCGCUAGUAAUCGCAGAUCAGCAACGCUGCGGUGAAUACGUUCCCGGGCCUUGUACACACCGCCCGUCAAGUCAUGAAAGUCGGUAACACCCGAAGCCGGUGGCCUUAACCCUUGUGGAAGGAGCCGUCCGAAGGUGGGAUCGGUGAUUAGGACUAAGUC